GACGAACGCUGGCGGCGUGCUUAACACAUGCAAGUCGAACGGAAAGGCCCUGCUUUUGUGGGGUGCUCGAGUGGCGAACGGGUGAGUAACACGUGAGUAACCUGCCCUUGACUUUGGGAUAACUUCAGGAAACUGGGGCUAAUACCGGAUAGGAGCUCCUGCUGCAUGGUGGGGGUUGGAAAGUUUCGGCGGUUGGGGAUGGACUCGCGGCUUAUCAGCUUGUUGGUGGGGUAGUGGCUUACCAAGGCUUUGACGGGUAGCCGGCCUGAGAGGGUGACCGGCCACAUGGGGACUAAGAUACGGCCCAGACUCCUACGGGAGGCAGCAGGGGGGAGUAUUGCACAAUGGGCGGAAGCCUGAUGCAGCAACGCCGCGUGCGGGAUGACGGCCUUCGGGUUGUAAACCGCUUUCGCCUGUGACGAAGCGUGAGUGACGGUAAUGGGUAAAGAAGCACCGGCUAACUACGUG
rnacentral:rRNA from 1 species